GAACUCGCGGCGGGGUUGCUGGGUCUUCCAGGAUCGCGCAUUAGCGGACGCUGGCUACGGGUGGCCGGGCGGGAUGUAACCGGCUGCUGAGCUGGCAGUUCUGUGUCCCCAGGCUUCGGCCCGGCCGCCGCCGCACAUAAACUGCGAGGAGGAGCUUUACGACUUCUCGGUCUUCGGGGCCGGGCGCAGCAAGGGCCAGACUCUGCGCUAGCAGGCGCUGCGCGCCAACCGGCCGGCCCCUGUCGCAGAAGGUGCAACCGAUCGCACUGUCGCGCAGAAGCUCCUCAAUGGCCAGCGCCAGCUGCAGCCCCGGCUGCCCACUCGCCUCACCUGAGCCUGGGUGGAACAAUCCAAAGUUUUAAUCAAAGAAGGUGGUAUUCAGUUGCUGCUUACAAUAGUUGAUACCCCAGGAUUUGGAGAUGCAGUGGAUAAUAGUAAUUGCUGGCAGCCUGUUAUCAAUUACAUUGAUAGUAAAUUUGAGGACUACCUAAAUGCAGAAUCGCAAGUGAACAGAUGUCAGAUGCCUGGUAACAGGGUGCACUGUUGUUUAUACUUCAUUGCUCCUUCAGGACAUGGACCGUUACAUAACUGAAGACUCCCACCUUCAGGCAGGAUUGGGUAGUACAUGUUUGUAACUACCUGGCAUUGCCUUUUGUUGAGACUUAAACCAUUGGAUAUUGAGUUUACAAAGCAUUUGCAUGAAAAAGUGAAUAUCAUCCCACUUAUUGCCAAAGCAGACACACUCAUGCCAGAGGAAUGCCAACAGUUUAAAAAACAGAUAAAGAAAUCCAAGAACAUAAAGUUAAAAUAUAUGAAUUUCCAGAAACAGAUGAUGAAGAAGAAAAAAAACUUGUUAAAAAGAUAAAGGACCAUUUACCUCUUGCUGUGGUGGGUAGUAAUACUAUCAUUGAAGUUAAUGGCAAAAGGGUCAUAGGAAGGCAGUAUCCUUGGAGUGUUGCUGAAGUUGAAAAUGGUGAACAUUGUGAUUUUACAGUUUUAAGAAAUAUGUUGAUAAGAACACACGCAGGACUUGAAAGAUGUUACUAAUAAUGUCCACUACGAGAACUAUGGAAUCAGAAAACUGGCAGCUGUGACUUAUCAUGGAGUUGAUAACAAGAAGAAUAAAGGGCAGCUCACUAAUAGAGACGGUAUUUCACCAUGUUAGCCAGGAUGGUCUUGAUCUCCUGACCUCGUGAUCCACCCGCCUCGGCCUCCCAAAGUGCUGGGAUUACAGGCAUGAGCCACCACGCCCGGCCAAGUGGAAUGAAUUUUCAAGAGCAUUGAAGUUACCAUAAGGGGCCUAGAAAUACUCUGUAUACCUAUAUAGUGCUCUAGGAGCCCUCUGGCACAAAUGGAAGAAGAAAGAAGGGAGCAAGUAGCUAAAAUUAAGAAGAUGGAGAUGGAGAUGGAGCAGGUGUUUGAGAUGAAGGUCAAAGAAAAAGUUCAAAAACUGAAGGACUCUGAAGCUGAGUCUGCAGAUGUGGAUCCUGACUCCUGAGAGAAGUAGCUCACCGUGACGAAGCUGCGUUUGCUUUUAUCGAUUUGCAAAUCAAAGAAGGGGGACAUAUUGGGAGAAGGCCCCCCAAAAUCUGGCCAUAAACUGGCCACAAAACUGGCCAUAAAAUCUCUGCAGCACUGUGACAUGCUCAUGAUGGCCAUAACGCCCACGCUGGAAGGUUUUGGGUUUACCGGAAUGAAGGCAAGGAACACCUGGCCUGCCCAGGGCAGAAAACCACUUAAAGGCAUUCUUAAACCACAAACAGUAGCAUGAGCGAUCUGUGCCUUAAGGGCAUGUUCCUGCUGCAGAUAACUAGCCAGACCCACCCCUUUAUUUCAGGCCAUCCCUUCAUUUCCCAUAAGGGAUACUUUUAGUUAAUUGAAUAUCUAUAGAAACAAUGCUAAUGACUGGUUUGCUGUUAAUAAAUAAGUGGGUAAAUCUCUGUUCGGGGCUCUCAGCUCUGAAGGCUGUGAGACCCCUGAUUUCCCACUUUACACCUCUAUA
rnacentral:lncRNA from 1 species